rnacentral:lncRNA from 1 species
CGCCAGCACAGUUGUGGCUCUGCGUGAGGCUGGACCAGAUGGACGGCCACAGACUCCGACCGGAACUGACAGCGCGGCCUCCAGGAUUGAAGCCAUCCCUGGCUUGAAGUAGCCUAAGGAGAUUUGCUAGUUUGAGUCCUGGGAGAUGAGAUGGGGAAGAUGGGCCCAAGCUGCAACAUGAAGGUCCAUGAUGAACAGUUGGCAUCUCCUACAGUGCCUGCCACUUGGUAAUGUUCAAUGCAGCCAAGGGAGCUAAGGUAAUGAACAAAACAGAGAAGUUCCUACCCUCCCUGAUGUUCAUUCUAGCAAAUGGAGACAGAUGAUAGAAACUGCACAUCAUUGAGCAAGAGGGACACCAUGGAUAAUGGAAAGAUCUACGGCAAGGCUGGCUGUCUGCCCUGUCUAAGGAGGACGUACUGGACCAUCCUGCUCUGCACAUCCAGAUGUGUCCAUGAAUACAUCCAUAAAACGAUGGCCUGUGGAAUCCUAUAGGAAAAUGAUCCAGAGCCUGGGCGGUCAGAAGGAACAAACACUUGAUUUACAAAAUAAAUCUUCUAUGUUUAUGUUUUAAAGACACACAGAGGAAAAACAUUUUUAAAUUCAUGAUUUCCCCCCCCAGAUUUUAACUAUUGUAAUCUCUUUCUUUCCUGAGCCUUAGGCAUCUUCAUUAUAAACCAAAAGAUAUAACUUGAGAUUUUCCCAGGGUUUAUAUACUCGUUAGAGUUGGAAACAUGAAAAUGGCAAUUUGGGAUGUCUCUUUGGAGUCAAAAACCUUAUAAAAAUAUAAUGUACUUUCUCUCUC